rnacentral:lncRNA from 1 species
AAAAAACCCAGGGAGCAGCCACCAACUUUCGGUACAAAACUUAAUAUUUUCUCUGGUAAGCGAUUACAGCUAUCCUGUAAGCGAUUACACGGUNUCCUAAGGCACAUUUCUCACAAUUCCCCAUACCUCGCUUUGGUUCAAACAAUAGGCUACCAACUUUGUAUUCAUUUCAUAUAACUUUAUACAAUAUUGACAAAGUUUUAAAUACAUCAAGUCAAUGCUAGCCCCCUUUCCACACUUCCUCACAACACUUCAAUGGCGGACGGACGUGAGAGCGUUCGGAAGGCGAAAAUAACGAAACCUUUCGAUUAAUGUCUUCAACGAUGAAAUAAAAUCCAAAAAAAACCUUUCCUUCCGACAACAGCUGACAAUGCUAACAUUCAAUAUGCAACUUCAAUACUUCAAUGGUGGACGGAUAUGCACGAACACGAUUUCGGUGGUGUGCAAACAUUUCAGAAUGCUGGAGGGAGAGUUUGGUUUCCUGGAGAGAGAUAAGUGUUGUCGUGGAGAGAGAGCGUAUCGGUGGCGCCAAUACAAUUCAUUUCCAGCAAACACUUUUCCACAAAUGCCCUUCCCCUAAGAAUUUUUCAUUUUAAAAA